UCCGUAGGUGGCAAUCGUUGUCCGGAUUUACUGGGCGUAAAGGGUGCGUAGGCGGACCUUUAAGUGAGAUGUGAAAUCCCCGAGCUUAACUUGGGGGCUGCAUUUCAAACUGGAGGUCUAGAGUGCAGGAGAGGAGAGUGGAAUUCCUAGUGUAGCGGUGAAAUGCGUAGAGAUUAGGAAGAACACCAGUGGCGAAGGCGACUCUCUGGACUGUAACUGACGCUGAGGCACGAAAGCGUGGGGAGAAAACAGG
rnacentral:rRNA from 1 species